GACGAACGCUGGCGGCGUGCUUAACACAUGCAAGUCGUGCGGUAAGGCCCUUUCGGGGGUACACGAGCGGCGAACGGGUGAGUAACACGUGAGCAACCUGCCCUUCACUUUGGGAUAACUGCCGGAAACGGUGGCUAAUACCGGAUAUGACUUCCUCACGCAUGUGGGGUGGUGGAAAGCCUUCGGGUGGUGGGGGAUGGGCUCGCGGUCUAUCAGCUUGUUGGUGGGGUGAUGGCCUACCAAGGCUUCGACGGGUAGCCGGCCUGUGAGGGUGACCGGCCAGACUGGGACUGAGAUACGGCCCAGACUCUUCCGGGAGGCAGCAGUGGGGAAUAUUGGACAAUGGGCGAAAGCCUGAUCCAGCACCGCCGCGUGAGGGAUGACGGCCUUCGGGUUGUAAACCUCUUUCGCCUGCGACGAAGCGAGAGUGACGGUAGCAGGUAAAGAAGCACCGGCCAACUACGU
rnacentral:rRNA from 1 species